GUUUCUGUAGUGUAGUGGUUAUCACGUUCGCCUAACACGCGUAAGGUCCCCGGUUCAAGACCGCGCGGAAACA